UACGUAGGGUGCAAGCGUUGUCCGGAUUUAUUGGGCGUAAAGAGCUCGUAGGCGGUUUGAUAAGUCGGGUGUGAAAUCUCCAGGCUCAACCUGGAGCUGCCACUCGAUACUGUCAUGACUUGAAUUCGGUAGGGGACCACGGAAUUCCUGGUGUAGCGGUGAAAUGCGCAGAUAUCAGGAGGAACACCAGCAGCGAAGGCG
rnacentral:rRNA from 1 species